rnacentral:rRNA from 1 species
GUAGGUGGCGAGCGUUAUCCGGAUUUACUGGGCGUAAAGCGCGUGCAUGCGGUUUCGUAAGUCGGACGUGAAAGCUCCUGGCUUAACUGGGAGAGGCCGUUCGAUACUGCGGGACUUGAGGUCGGGAGAGGGACGUGGAAUUUCCGGUGUAGUGGUGGAAUGCGUAGAUAUCGGAAGGAACACCAGUGGCGAAGGCGGCGUCCUGGCCCGCACCUGACGCUAAGACGCGAAAGCGUGGGUAGCGAACGGGAUUAGAUACCCCGGGUAGUCCACGCCGUAAACGGUGGAUACUAGGUGUUGGUGGCUAUCGUCAUCAGUGCCGUAGCUAACGCGUUAAGUAUCCCGCCUGGGAACUACGGCCGCAAGGCUA